rnacentral:rRNA from 1 species
AUUGAACGCUGGCGGCAGGCCUAACACAUGCAAGUCGAGCGGAUGAAGGGAGCUUGCUCCUGGAUUCAGCGGCGGACGGGUGAGUAAUGCCUAGGAAUCUGCCUGGUAGUGGGGGAUAACGUCCGGAAACGGGCGCUAAUACCGCAUACGUCCUGAGGGAGAAAGUGGGGGAUCUUCGGACCUCACGCUAUCAGAUGAGCCUAGGUCGGAUUAGCUAGUUGGUGGGGUAAAGGCCUGCCAAGGCGACGAUCCGUAACUGGUCCGAGAGGAUGAUCAGUCACACUGGAACUGAGACACGGUCCAGACUCCUACGGGAGGCAGCAGUGGGGAAUAUUGGACAAUGGGCGAAAGCCUGAUCCAGCCAUGCCGCGUGUGUGAAGAAGGUCUUCGGAUUGUAAAGCACUUUAAGUUGGGAGGAAGGGCAGUAAGUUAAUACCUUGCUGUUUUGACGUUACCAACAGAAUAAGCACCGGCUAACUUCGUG